rnacentral:rRNA from 1 species
UGGCUCAGGACGAACGCUGGCGGCGUGCCUAACACAUGCAAGUCGAGCGAGGAGAUCCUCGGGAUGAUCCUAGCGGCGGACGGGUGAGUAACACUGGGCAACCUGCCUCAUAGAGAGGAAUAGCCUUCCGAAAGGGAGAUUAAUACCUCAUAACAUUGCAGUUUCGCAUGGAACAGCAAUUAAAGGAGUAAUCCGCUAUGAGAUGGGCCCGCGGCGCAUUAGCUAGUUGGUGAGGUAACGGCUCACCAAGGCGACGAUGCGUAGCCGACCUGAGAGGGUGAUCGGCCACAUUGGGACUGAGACACGGCCCAGACUCCUACGGGAGGCAGCAGUGGGGAAUAUUGCACAAUGGGGGAAACCCUGAUGCAAGCAACGCCGCGUGAGUGAUGACGGCCUUCGGGUUGUAAAGCUCUGUCUUCAGGGACGAUAAUGACGGUACCUGAGGAGGAAGCCACGGCUAACUACGUGCCAGCAGCCGC